AACGAACGCUGGCGGCAGGCUUAACACAUGCAAGUCGAGCGCCCCGGUAACGGGGAGCGGCAGACGGGUGAGUAACGCGUGGGAAUCUACCCUUUUCUACGGAAUAACCCAGGGAAACUUGGACUAAUACCGUAUGAGCCCUUCGGGGGAAAGAUUUAUCGGGAAAGGAUGAGCCCGCGUUGGAUUAGCUAGUUGGUGGGGUAAAGGCCUACCAAGGCAACGAUCCAUAGCUGGUCUGAGAGGAUGAUCAGCCACACUGGGACUGAGACACGGCCCAGACUCCUACGGGAGGCAGCAGUGGGGAAUAUUGGACAAUGGGCGCAAGCCUGAUCCAGCCAUGCCGCGUGAGUGAUGACGGCCCUAGGGUUGUAAAGCUCUUUCACCGGUGAAGAUAAUGACGGUAACCGGAGAAGAAGCCCCGGCUAACUUCGUGCCAGCAGCCGCGGUAAUACAAGGGGGCUAGCGUUGUUCGGAAUUACUGGGCGUAAAGCGCACGUAGGCGGAUCGGUCAGUUAGGGGUGAAAGU
rnacentral:rRNA from 1 species